AACGAACGCUGGCGGCAUGCCUAACACAUGCAAGUCGAGCGAACCCUUCGGGGUGAGUGGCGCACGGGUGCGUAACGCGUGGGAACCUGCCCUUAGGUUCGGAAUAACAGUGAGAAAUCGCUGCUAAUACCGGAUAAUGUCUUCGGACCAAAGAUUUAUCGCCUUUGGAUGGGCCCGCGUUGGAUUAGCUAGUUGGUGGGGUAAAGGCUCACCAAGGCGACGAUCCAUAGCUGGUCUUAGAGGAUGAUCAGCCACACUGGGACUGAGACACGGCCCAGACUCCUACGGGAGGCAGCAGUGGGGAAUAUUGGACAAUGGGCGAAAGCCUGAUCCAGCAAUGCCGCGUGAGUGAUGAAGGCCUUAGGGUUGUAAAGCUCUUUUACCAGGGAUGAUAAUGACAGUACCUGGAGAAUAAGCUCCGGCUAACUCCGUGCCAGCAGCCGCGG
rnacentral:rRNA from 1 species